AGCGAACGCUGGCGGCAGGCUUAACACAUGCAAGUCGAGCGGGCACUUUCGGGUGUCAGCGGCGGACGGGUGAGUAACGCGUGGGAACGUGCCCUCUGGUUCGGAAUAACUCAGGGAAACUUGAGCUAAUACCGGAUACGCCCUUUUGGGGAAAGGCUUGCUGCCGGAGGAUCGGCCCGCGUCUGAUUAGCUAGUUGGUGAGGUAACGGCUCACCAAGGCGACGAUCAGUAGCUGGUCUGAGAGGAUGAUCAGCCACACUGGGACUGAGACACGGCCCAGACUCCUACGGGAGGCAGCAGUGGGGAAUAUUGGACAAUGGGCGCAAGCCUAAUCCAGCCAUGCCGCGUGAGUGAUGAAGGUCUUAGGGUUGUAAAGCUCUUUUAUCCGGGACGAUAAUGACGGUACCGGAGGAAUAAGCCCCGGCUAACUUCGUG
rnacentral:rRNA from 1 species